rnacentral:lncRNA from 1 species
GCCGAAGGAGGUGGGAGAGGAUGCGCUUCCGGAGGUGGAUCAUGGCGCUGCGGCGGCGGCCUGGCCGGCGGGAGGAUAAGCAAGGGUAUGCUCUUAUACGCAUAUCUAAUUUUUUUCUUGAAAAAUCUCUAUUUGACACAGGCUUCUUUAUUUAACAUUAAAAAUAAAUUGAACUUCCUUAUCUGACACUAGGUUAAACUUUCAUUCAAACUUCCACCCAUUUUGUAAAUUAACUCGUGUGUGCAGACACCCGAGGAUUCUCUCCCCUCUUUUCUUAAUCAAAUUAUUUUAAAUCACCUUCAAAAUUCAUGAUUUUUCAGUGAUACUGAAGGUGGAGAUGAACCCAAUUUGCAUUAAAAAACAUAUAUAGCAUUUAAAAUGUCAAAACUAAAAUUCUUAAGGUGAUUUGAAGGUCAUUUUGGUCAAGAAAAGAGGGGGAGGGGAGAGUAUCGGUGUUUUAACUCGGCAACCUACUAAGGGAGUACCCGAGGUAGAGUUUUGGUUGGUGGGUGUCAUCGAAACUAGGAACUCGAUGGUGUACGUAGGCACGCGAUUUAGACAGGUUCAGGCCGCUAGAUCGCGUAAUACCCUACUGUUGGGGGGAAAUAUUAACGACCUCCUAAUGCCGCUCAAAGCAACAGUCAUGAAGGCCUAGGCCCAUCUAAGGUAGCGAAAUUGCCGUCAGCCCAGCAUGAAAGGGAGAGGCCACGUUCCGCCUCGCCCGACCCGGAGUUCCGGGGUCGGACGCUCCCAACCUCUUGAAGACUAAACGGGAGCGCCCGACCCCCACCACAGAGACUCCGCCUCGCCCGACCCUGGGCGCGGGGGUCGCACUCGCUCGGGUCCACAAGACGAAUAUUCGCCUUGGGCGCGGACUGAAGGAUCAGGAUGACGAUCUCGUGGAUCCCCCUAUCGACCUCGUCAUAAAUGCGCCGCGGCCCUGUCGAGCCAAAAGGGAGCCGCGUCCCCAAUGUAACCAGUCCCAAAUACCGGUGCGCGGCCGUGCGGCGCGAGCUGCAGUGGUCGUGGCUCCUUCUGAUUCACCACAGAGUACUCAUGAGCUGCGCCGAACGACACAGGAGGGCGCAUCGCUUGCUCUCGCGCCCCGUGCGCCCAACGGCAGUUUCAGGGAUGCGACGUCCGGUCUUACGGUAAUCGGCGGGGCAACAGAAUCGGACCUCCUCCUCGGUGGGCACGGAUGCCGAGGCUGAGGCUCAUCAUCACGCUCGACGGCGAUGGCGACCAGGGAGAUCAUCGACAAGAUCUGGAAGGAAUCACCCUCCCUCGCCGAACGCGCUGACAGGGACCGGAGGCCGGAGCAAGAGCGGCGGCCUUGGGACCUUCCCCUUGUAUUAUUUUUCCACUUGGCUUAUCCUUUCUACCUCUUCUCCUGACGCCCGGCUCGACUGUAACCCCGAGCUCCCUCCUGUGCUAUAAAAGGAGGACCGGGGAUCCUGAGACGGGGGAGGGAGACUCUCUCUCGAAAGCCAACAAAACACUCUCGCACUCCCUUAGAGCACAAGUACACUCAAGAGACCUGGGAUCAAUUCCCUCUCUCGCCCAUCUGUAACCCCUACUACAGAACCCCACGUGGGUAACACGAGCAGCCUCGAUACUGGACGUAGGGCUUCUUCUUGCCCGAACCAGUCUAACCCCGUGUCUCCCACGCCACCAUCCGAAGCCUUACGCGCAUAAAAGAAAUUUAUUAGUCUAAGUCUCGAUCCGCAAAUCUUGACAACGAUACCUACAUCCUGUGUGUUGUUUGCUUGUAUUCGAUUAAACUUGUUUGGAGCCUGCCCACCCUUAUAUACCUUACAAGAGUACUAGUCGGAUACGACUACAGAGUUCUACUCUAACUCGGAAGAGUAGUUUCAUGUCUUCGACUAGUCUCCUGGCAGUCCAUGUAGACUGCACCACCCUGUAUUGUAGUCUUCAUGUCCUGGUAUGUCUCGGUGUACUUCUCCUCAUAUGGAUCUGUCGAAAUCGUUUGGUGGGCUCAUGGAUGUAUGCCCGAUAGAGAGAAUUCACGAGUUGUUGAAGUACGGAAAGUGUCAAAUAAUGAACAAAAGUUUAAUCUAAUGUCAAAUAAAGAAUGUUCGAAAUUUUCAAUAUCAAUUAAGAAAGUCUUCAAUUUUAGAGUAUCAAUUAUGGAAUUUUGUCAUUUUUCUUUCAUCCUUCAAUUUCGAUGAGAUUCACCUCUACUUUCCCAUGUACAAGCAGGCUAGGAGACCCACUGAAGAUGAGACACGAGAGGAGGGCAAGGUUGUAUCCCCAGGCUUGUUUUAGGCGCCAUGGCUAUAGGAAGAAGAAAGAGCCUGUUUAGUAGGGUUUCGGAUUCUCCAAUUUUAUUUCCCUAUAAAUGUUUCUUUAUUAAUCAAAAUCUCCUUAUAUGAAACAGUUUAUCUGUC